rnacentral:rRNA from 1 species
GUAUCUUAGGCAAAUCCGGGGUACUCUAUGCUGAGAUCUGAUAGCAAGCUGUACUUGUACAGCGAAGUGGUUGAUGCCAUGCUUCCAGGAAAAGUCUCUAAGCUUCAGUUACACAGGAAUCGUACCCGAAACCGACACAGGUGGUCAGGUCGAGUAGACCAAGGCGCUUGAGAGAACUCUGCUGAAGGAACUAGGCAAAAUGGUACCGUAACUUCGGGAGAAGGUACGCUGUUGUUGGUGAUGGAACUCGCUUCCUGAGCUGACGACAGCCGCAGAAACCAGGCCGCUGCAACUGUUUAUUAAAAACAUAGCACUCUGCAAACACGAAAGUGGACGUAUAGGGUGUGAUGCCUGCCCGGUGCUGGAAGGUUAAUUGAUGGGGUUAGCGUAAGCGAAGCUCUUGAUCGAAGCCCCAGUAAACGGCGGCCGUAACUAUAACGGUCCUAAGGUAGCGAAAUUCCUUGUCGGGUAAGUUCCGACCUGCACGAAUGGCAUAAUGAUGGCGGCGCUGUCUCCAGCAGAGGCUCAGUGAAAUCGAAAUCGCUGUGAAGAUGCAGUGUACCCGCGGCUAGACGGAAAGACCCCGUGAACCUUUACUGCAGCUUGACACUGAACUUUGACCUUACUUGUGUAGGAUAGGUGGGAGGCUUUGAAGCUGGAACGCUAGUUCCAGUGGAGCCGUCCUUGAAAUACCACCCUGGUAAUGUUGAGGUUCUAACUCUGUCCCGUGAUCCGGGACGAGGACCGUGUCUGGUGGGUAGUUUGACUGGGGCGGUCUCCUCCUAAAGAGUAACGGAGGAGUACGAAGGUGCGCUCAGCGUGGUCGGAAAUCACGCGUAGAGUAUAAAGGCAAAAGCGCGCUUAACUGCGAGACCCACAAGUCGAGCAGGUACGAAAGUAGGUCUUAGUGAUCCGGUGGUUCUGUAUGGAAGGGCCAUCGCUCAACGGAUAAAAGGUACUCUGGGGAUAACAGGCUGAUACCGCCCAAGAGUUCAUAUCGACGGCGGUGUUUGGCACCUCGAUGUCGGCUCAUCUCAUCCUGGGGCUGAAGCAGGUCCCAAGGGUAUGGCUGUUCGCCAUUUAAAGAGGUACGCGAGCUGGGUUUAGAACGUCGUGAGACAGUUCGGUCCCUAUCUACCGUGGGCGCUGGAAAUUUGAGAGGAUCUGCUCCUAGUACGAGAGGACCAGAGUGGACGAACCUCUGGUGUACCGGUUGUGACGCCAGUCGCAUCGCCGGGUAGCUAUGUUCGGAAGGGAUAACCGCUGAAAGCAUCUAAGCGGGAAGCCUACCUCAAGAUAAGAUUUCCCUAGGACUUUAUGUCCUCUAAAGAGCCGUUCGAGACUAGGACGUUGAUAGGUUGGAUGUGGAAGCAUAGUGAUAUGUGAAGCUGACCAAUACUAAUUGCUCGUGAGGCUUGACUAU